AAUCAACGCUGGCGGCGUGCCUCAGACAUGCAAGUCGAACGAUUAAGACUUCCUUCGGGAAGUGCAUAAAGUGGCGCACGGGUGAGUAACACGUAAGUAAUCUACCUUCGAGUGGGGAAUAACGUUCGGAAACGAACGCUAAUACCGCAUAAUGCAGCGGCAUCGCAAGAUGACAGUUGUUAAAGGAUUUAUUUCGCUUGAAGAGGAGCUUGCGGCAGAUUAGCUAGUUGGUAAGGUAACGGCUUACCAAGGCUACGAUCUGUAUCCGGUCUAAGAGGAGGUCGGACACACUGACACUGAAUAACGGGUCAGACUCCUACGGGAGGCAGCAGUCGGGAAUUUUGGGCAAUGGGCGAAAGCCUGACCCA
rnacentral:rRNA from 1 species